GAGCGAACAGGGAAGAGGCCAGCGCUGAACCCCGCGGUCCGAGCGGCCGCCGGGGAAUGUGGCGUUAGGGAGCGCCCGCCUAUCCCCGGCGCGCGCGGCGAGCCCAAGUCCAUCUUGAACGGGGCCACGGCCCGCAGAGGGUGCCAGGCCCGUAGCGGCCGCCGCGUCGUCGUGGGAGGGCGUCUCCUCAGAGUCGGGUUGCUUGAGAGUGCAGCCCCAAGCGGGUGGUAAACUCCAUCUAAGGCUAAAUACGACCACGAGACCGAUAGCGAACAAGUACCGUGAGGGAAAGUUGAAAAGAACUUUGAAGAGAGAGUUCAAGAGUACGUGAAACCGUUCUGGGGUAAACGGAAGGAAUCCGAGCCCAGACAGAGGCCGGGGAGAUUCACGUCCGCCUGGCCCGCCCGGCUCCCGGCGGCGGGACGGGGUCGUCGGCCCGGCAGGGGUAACCCUGCCGGCGCGCGGACGGCUUCCCGUUUUCCCGCCCGCCCCGGGGGCGCCGGAGGCGGUGCCGGCGGGCCGCACUUCUCCACCGGCGGCACGUCGCGACCCGUCGCGCGGGGGCCCACGGCCCGGGUCGGGGAGUCCGCGCGCGUCCGCGCGCGGCCCCUCCGGGACGCCCGGCCCCCGCAGGCGACGGUACAGAGAGGAACCACGGCCGUCCCCGGCAGGUCUCGACCUGCCGGGGCGCUCCGCGCCCGGCGGGCGCGCGCGCCGUCGCGGCGCGGGAUCCGCGCGAGCGGCCCGCGCCCGCGUGCGCGCCGUCCCAGCCGGGACCCUGCGGAGCGGACCGACGCCGGCGGCGUCGUCGGCGGUGGCGGCCCCGCGCCGCCCCGCCGCGCGCGCGCCGUCGGCGAGAGUCGCGAUCCGGUCAGCGGCGCCUAGCCUCGGAUAACCUUCCGACCCGUCUUGAAACACGGACCAAGGAGUCUGACAUGUGCGCGAGUCAGUGGGGCGUAGCGAACCCCAAGGGCGCAAUGAAAGUAAGGGCCGGGCGCCCCUCCCCCGGGGGGGGCGUCGCCGGCGGGGAAGACGGCGGCCGCGACCGCGGCCGCCCGCACUCCCGGGGCGUCUCGAGGCCCCCGUCCCGCACGCGGGGCGAGGCGCACCCCGAGCGCACACGUCGGGACCCGAAAGAUGGUGAACUAUGCCUGGCCAGGACGAAGUCAGGGGAAACCCUGAUGGAGGUCCGUAGCGAUUCUGACGUGCAAAUCGAUCGUCGGAGCUGGGUAUAGGGGCGAAAGACUAAUCGAACCAUCUAGUAGCUGGUUCCCUCCGAAGUUUCCCUCAGGAUAGCUGGCCUUCGGAGCGACUGAUGAGAGAACGAGUCUCAUCCGGUAGAGCGAAUGAUUAGAGGCCUUGGGGCCGAAACGACCUCAACCUAUUCUCAAACUUCAAAUGGGUGAGACCUCCGGCCUGCCUGGACUGUUGGAUGACGAGGCCGGAGGUCGGAUCGGAAGUGCCAAGUGGGCCAUUUUUGGUAAGCAGAACUGGCGCUGUGGGAUGAACCAAACGCCGGGUUAAGGCGCCCGACUCGACGCUCACGGGAACCCAUGAAAGGCGUUGGUUGCUUAAGACAGCAGGACGGUGGCCAUGGAAGUCGGAAUCCGCUAAGGAGUGUGUAACAACUCACCUGCCGAAGCAACUAGCCCUGAAAAUGGAUGGCGCUGAAGCGUCGGGCCUAUACCCGGCCGUCGGCGGCGGAGCGGACGCCGCUGUUCCGGUCGUCGCCGCGGGCCAAACGGGCGUUGCCGCGCGCCGCGGCGGUCCCCGCAAGGGGGCCGUCGCGCCGCGGUGCGUCCGCCGCGGCGGCGGCCGCCGGCGUCGUGAUGCCCCGACGAGUAGGAGGGGCGCGGCGGUGAGCGCCGAAGGGUGAGGGCGCGAGCCCGCCUGGAGCCGCCGUCGGCGCAGAUCUUGGUGGUAGUAGCAAAUACUCCAGCGAGGCCCUGGAGGGCUGAGGUGGAGAAGGGUUUCGUGUGAACAGCCGUUGCACACGAGUCAGUCGAUCCUAAGCCCUACGAGAGCUCUGAAGUCGAUGCGGGCCGGCCGAUACAUUCGGUGGCGGCCCCUCUGGGCGAAAGGGAAUCCGGUUCCUAUUCCGGAACCCGGCAGCGGAACCGUUCUACGUCGGGCCCCCCUCCGAGAGGAGGGAAGCUCGUCGGGGUAACCCAAAAGGACCCGGAGACGCCGUCGGGAGAUCGGGGAAGAGUUUUCUUUUCUGUUUGAGCGCUCGAGUUCCCUGGAAUCCUCUAGCAGGGAGAUAGGGUUUGGAGCGCGAAGAGC
rnacentral:rRNA from 2 species